AUUUAAAUCUGGCCUCCGCCCAGUUGUAAUUUGCAGAGGAUGCUUCUGGCGCGGUGCCUUCCNAGUUCCCUGGAACGGGACCCCACAGAGGGUGAGAGNCCCGUAUGGUCGGACACCAAGCCUGUGUGAAGCUCCUUCCACGAGUCNAGUAGUUUGGGAAUGCUGCUCUAAAUGGGAGGUAAAUCUCUUCUAAAGCUAAAUACCGGCCAGAGACCGAUAGCGCACAAGUAGAGUGAUCGAAAGAUGAAAAGCACCUUGAAAAGGGGGUUAAAUAGUACGUGAAAUUGUUGAAAGGGAAGCACUUAUGACCAGACUUGGGCCGGGCGGCUCAUCAGGGGUUCUCCCCUGUGCACUCCGCCCGGCACAGGCCAGCAUCGGUUCUCGUGGGGGGAUAAGACCGUCAGGAACGUACCACCCUCCGGGGUGUGUUAUAGCCUGGCGGACGAUACCCCCGUGGGGACCGAGGUCCGCGCUCCGCAAGGAUGCUGGCGUAAUGGUCCUCAGUGAC
rnacentral:rRNA from 1 species